rnacentral:rRNA from 1 species
GACGUAGGGUGCGAGCGUUGUCCGGAGUUAUUGGGCGUAAAGAGCGUGUAGGCGGCUCGGUAAGUCCGCUGUGAAAGUCCAGGGCUCAACCCUGGAAUGCCGGUGGAAACUGUCGAGCUAGAGUCCGGAAGAGGCGAGUGGAAUUCCUGGUGUAGCGGUGAAAUGCGCAGAUAUCAGGAGGAACACCAAUGGCGAAGGCAGCUCGCUGGGACGGUACUGACGCUGAGACGCGAAAGCGUGGGGAGCAAACAGG